GGGGAUGACGUCAAGUCAGCAUGGCCUUUAUAUCCUGGGCUACACACACGCUACAAUGGGAAGGGACAAUAGGUUGCGAAGCCGCGAGGCGGAGCCAAUCCAGCAAAACUUCCCUCAGUUCAGAUUGCAGGCUGCAACUCGCCUGCAUGAAGUUGGAGUUGCUAGUAAACGCAGGUCAGCCAUACUGCGUUGAAUACGUUCCCGGGGGCUU
rnacentral:rRNA from 1 species